UACGUAGGCAGCAAGUGUUGUUCGGAUUUACUGGGCGUAAAGGGCGCGUAGGCGGCCAGCACAAGUCAGUUGUGAAAUCUCCGAGCUUAACUCGGAAAGGUCAACUGAUACUGUGCGGCUAGAGUGCGGAAGGGGCAACUGGAAUUCUUGGUGUAGCGGUGAAAUGCGUAGAUAUCAAGAGGAACACCUGCGGCGAAGGCGGGUUGCUGGGCCGACACUGACGCUGAUGCGCGAAAGCUAGGGGAGCGAACGGG
rnacentral:rRNA from 1 species